rnacentral:rRNA from 1 species
UACAGAGGGUGCGAGCGUUGUUCGGAUUUACUGGGCGUAAAGGGCGCGUAGGCGGCUUGUCAAGUCACUUGUGAAAUCUCUGAGCUUAACUCAGAACGGCCAAGUGAAACUGACAUGCUAGAGUGCAGAAGGGGCAAUCGGAAUUCUUGGUGUAGCGGUGAAAUGCGUAGAUAUCAAGAGGAACACCUGAGGUGAAGACGGGUUGCUGGGCUGACACUGACGCUGAGGCGCGAAAGCCAGGGGAGCAAACGGG